UAUGUGCAAAAGAGGGAAGAGGGAGGAGGUAGGGGUAACCCUAGCGCCGCUUCCCUGUACGCCAUCACCUACCCACCACUGUUUCUCGGUCACGUCCCAUCGAUUUGGAAGUGGGUAAAGCAGAGGGAAGGCAAAGCCUCUAAAAUCGGGCCAAACAUUCCUUAAAGUUUGGAGGAGGUAACAUCCAAGUUCCAUUUUGGUCUAGGCCGUGCCAACAAAAGCCCAAGUAGGAAUACUAUUUCAAAAAUAGAGUCCGGGAAGACAAAAGAAGAUACCGAGGCGCGCAGAAGGCCUAGCCAUGGGUGAAAAUGGCCAACUAGGGGCUUGGUAUGCCCCUAGUCUAACCCAGUCUCUCUUUAUAUUUGAUUGACUUAUUUCCAGCUUGAUGUACUUGUAAAAAUGUGUAUGCAAACUCAUAUUA